rnacentral:rRNA from 1 species
CCUACGGGUGGCAGCAGUGGGGAAUAUUGGACAAUGGGCGAAAGCCUGAUCCAGCCAUGCCGCGUGUGUGAAGAAGGCCUUCGGGUUGUAAAGCACUUUCAGUGGGGAAGAAAGCCUUGGGGCUAAUACCCUCGAGGAAGGACAUCACCCACAGAAGAAGCACCGGCUAACUCCGUGCCAGCAGCCGCGGUAAUACGGAGGGUGCGAGCGUUAAUCGGAAUUACUGGGCGUAAAGCGCGCGUAGGCGGUCUGAUAAGCCGGUUGUGAAAGCCCCGGGCUCAACCUGGGAACGGCAUCCGGAACUGUCAGGCUAGAGUGCAGGAGAGGAAGGUAGAAUUCCCGGUGUAGCGGUGAAAUGCGUAGAGAUCGGGAGGAAUACCAGUGGCGAAGGCGGCCUUCUGGACUGACACUGACGCUGAGGUGCGAAAGCGUGGGUAGCAAACAGGAUUAGAUACCAGGGUAGUC